rnacentral:rRNA from 1 species
AUUGAACGCUGUCGGCAUGCCUUACACAUGCAAGUCGAACGGUAACGGGUCCUUCGGGAUGCCGACGAGUGGCGAACGGGUGAGCAAUAUAUCGGAACGUGCCCAGUAGUGGGGGAUAACUGCUCGAAAGAGCAGCUAAUACCGCAUACGACCUGAGGGUGAAAGGGGGGGAUCGCAAGACAUCUCGCUAUUGGACUGGCCGAUAUCAGAUUCGCGAGUUGGUGGGGUAAAGGCCUACCAAGGCAACGAUCUGUAGUUGGGCUGAGAGGAAGACAAGCCACACUGGGACUGAUACACGGCCCAUACUCCUACGGGAGGCAGCGGUGGGGAAUGGUGGAGAAUGGGCACAAGCCUGAUCCAGCAAUGCCGCGUGCAGGAAGAAGGCCUUCGGGUUGUAAACUGCUUUUGUCAGGGAAGAAAUCUUCUGGGCUAAUACCCCGGGAGGAUGACGGUACCUGAAGAAUAAGCACCGGCUAACUACGUGCCAGCCGCCGCGGUAA